rnacentral:tRNA from 1 species
UCUUAGAUGACUGAGACUUAAGUGUUAGAUUUUUAAUCUAAAAACGGCAUAAAAAUUAAAUGCCUCUAAGAG